ensembl:lncRNA
UCUAGCUGCAAGGGCAGACAUCCUCCUGCAAGCCACAGCCACUCCGCUCUUGGUUAGGGAGUGCUUUUACCAGCAGGGUAUUGGUAUGUUUGGGCCAGUUGUCAUGAAAACGUUUCACAAGGAGCAAUCUGACCUUGCUGUGCCCUGGCGCUGGCCAUGAUUUAUGCUGCCACAUCAUCUCCCUGAGCUCAGGCGAAACUGAGCAGUGUCCCCAGCCUGAUGUGUUGGGACCCUCACGGUGUGUGCCCAGAACACCAGGCAGUGCCAGGGAUGAUAUCCCUGCGUGGAGAAAACCAUGUACAACACCAGCUGCACCAGAUCUCUGCCAGCACUGAGCAGGCUUCCUCUGGGACUCUUUGUUGGAGUGUCCUGUACCCUUUCUUGUCUCACCCAGAACUCCAUCUGCUCUGGUGCUGACUGUGCAUGCAGCCCCAGAGUGGGCUUGGGGCAGACUGAAGGACACUACAGGAGAGGCACUGUCUGACUGGUGAACCUGGCACAUUUACAUGAACUUGAGAAAGAAAACCACAAGAGAGCUCAUUUGGAGUCAACCUGGACAGAAGCCAAGCCAAUGGUGUUGAAUUCCCUCCACCUUCAAAACAAAAUUAUAAUAUUCUGUAUAGUUGUAUAAAAGCUACAUUUUUCUAUCCAAUUCUGUAGAAAUUACUGAAAAAAAAACCCAACAUUCUC